rnacentral:rRNA from 1 species
GACGAACGCUGGCGGCGUGCUUAACACAUGCAAGUCGAACGGAAAGGCCCCUUUGGGGGUACUCGAGUGGCGAACGGGUGAGUAACACGUGAGUAACCUGCCCUUGACUUCGGGAUAACUUCAGGAAACUGGGGCUAAUACCGGAUAGGAAUCCUUGCUGCAUGGUGGGGGUUGGAAAGCUUCGGCGGUUUUGGAUGGACUCGCGGCUUAUCAGCUUGUUGGUGGGGUAGUGGCUUACCAAGGCUUUGACGGGUAGCCGGCCUGAGGGGGCGACCGGCCACCUUGGGACUGAGAUGCGGCCCAGACUCCUACGGGAGGCAGCAGUGGGGAAGAUUGCAGAAUGGGCGGAAGCCUGAUGCAGCAACGCCGCGGGCGGGAUGACGGCCUUCGGGUUGUAAACCGCUUUCAGCAGGGGCGAAGCUUGUGGUGACGGUACCUGCAGAAGAAGCACCGGCUAACUACGUG